rnacentral:rRNA from 1 species
GACGAACGCUGGCGGCGUGCUUAACACAUGCAAGUCGAACGGAAAGGCCCUGCUUUUGUGGGGUGCUCGAGUGGCGAACGGGUGAGUAACACGUGAGUAACCUGCCCUUGACUUUGGGAUAACUUCAGGAAACUGGGGCUAAUACCGGAUAGGAGCUCCUGCUGCAUGGUGGGGGUUGGAAAGUUUCGGCGGUUGGGGAUGGACUCGCGGCUUAUCAGCUUGUUGGUGGGGUAGUGGCUUACCAAGGCUUUGACGGGUAGCCGGCCUGAGAGGGUGACCGGGCAAAAUGGGAAUGAGGUACGGCCCAGACUCCUACGGGAGGCAGCAGUGGGGAAUAUUGCACAAUGGGCGGAAGCCUGAUGCAGCAACGCCGCGUGCGGGAUGACGGCCUUCGGGUUGUAAACCGCUUUCGCCUGUGACGAAGCGUGAGUGACGGUAAUGGGUAAAGAAGCACCGGCUAACUACGUG